UGUUCAUUCUCUCUCUCUCCCUCUCCCUCCCUCCUUCCUUCUUCUUCCUUCCUGCUUCCCCUUUCUCACUUUGGAGACUAAAGGCUACCUAAAAAGUUUGAGGAUACUAGAAGGGGCUGACUGCCCUGAAAGGACUGGGAAAGAAAAAGAGGGGACCACCAAGGCCAUGGAAGGGACCAAGAGGGUGACAGAAAUGACUGGGGAUUGAAAGAAGGAAGAAGAGACAAGAAAGUUAAGUGGAAAUAGAGACACCCACAGGUUCUCUUGGUUCCGUGUUAAUUACCUCUCAGUCUGCUGAAUUCACUCUCUAUCAGUGCUUUCAUGCUGCCUUGGACAUAACCAUAGCUGUGCUUUGAGAGAGAAGUGGUCUGGAAAUGCUGGAAGUUGUCUCCUAAGGAACCGGCAGUAAGACCUUCAUUUCUUUUACGAAGAUUAAGAGAUUCUAGAUUUCUUGGUGGAGAAUCCUAUGAGAAAAGGAAAAUGGACUGGUCACCAAGAGCAUGAGAGAAAAGGUCAUCUGCCAUGGAUCUUCUUGCCUUCAUCGUCUCCUACUAAAUGCAGAAGCCUACUCAACUGGCUUUUCUGCAUUUUCUUCCUCAAGUACUCAGAAAUCCACCUUGAUUCAUACUCAGGGAGUAGCUUUCCUGCAUCAUGUUUUUCCAAAUAACCUCUUAGUUUAUUUUAGAGAGGAAAGGAGAAGAGAGGAAAAGAGAGGAGAGGAGAGGAGUUGAAGAACUGUUGCUUUUUAAAGCAAUUCCAAACUGAAAGCUAUUCAGAUGUGAAAGAAAACGACGGCAGAACACCAUGUCUUGUUUUAUCUAAUUGUUCCAAGAAGUGGAACAGAAUGAAAUAAAGUUAUUUUUCUUACUAGCUCAGAAAAACAUAAACUUUUUUUUGUUUUUAAAGCAGCGGACUCCCUGAAAAGCAUCCUGACGCUGCCAACAGCUGCUGCAGCUGCUGACAGCUGGAACUAAAAAAUUAUUAGAGGCUAGAACUAGAAGGCAAAGUGGUUAAUGUAUACAAUGCUGUUUUUUUAAGGAUCUCCGGGACUUGCCCUUGUUCAUGAAGUGGGUUGGGUGCAGCGGGUACUUCUGAGAACCGAUUGAGCAAAAGUGUCCUUCCCAACAAACGGCAAAACAUAUUGGGAAACGGGGCACUUGGCAAAUAAGAUCUAAAGUUACCAAGCACCGCCCCAAGGAGGGACUCAGCUUGCAACUGAAGAACAGGGACCCUAAGCCCCGGCCACAGAGACAAACUCUCCCUCCUAUUUGCGGAGCACCAGGUGCGCCAGUCAGCUCUGUAGCUAUUUCGCAAGGUUCUGAAAGGAAAAGUGGCUUUUGUCUGUUCCUGUACUGAAAGGGAUAAGCAUUAUUAUGUUACCUCUCAAUGACUCUGUGAGGGCCUGAGGAAAGCAAAGGCUUUUCUGAGCACAGGUACUAUUUCUGCAUGUGAAGACAUGGUUGUAAUGCUGGGACCUGUAUAAG